GGAGAAAAGUGGCGUGCUAUACAUGCAGUCGAACGAGAGUACUUGUACUCUAGUGGCGAACGGGUGAGUAACACGUCAGGUACUUGCCCCAAAGACGAGGAUAACCACGGGAAACUGUGGCUAAUACUGGAUAGGAUAUAGAUUCGCAUGAACCUAUAUUUAAAGACGCGUUUGCGUCACUUUGGGAGAGCCUUGCGCAGCAUUAGCUAGUUGGUAGGGUAAUGGCCUACCAAGGCAACGAUGCUUAGCUGGACUGAGAGGUUGAACAGCCACACUGGGACUGAGACACGGCCCAGACUCCUAUGGGAGGCAGCAGUAGGGAAUUUUCGGCAAUGGGCGAAAGCCUGACCGAGCAAUGCCGCGUGAACGAUGAAGGCCUUCGGGUCGUAAAGUUCUGUUGUUAAGGAAGAACAGUCAGAAGAGGAAAUGCUUUUGAUUUGACGGUACUUAACCAGAAAGCUCCGGCUAACUACGUGCCAGCAGCCGCGGUAAUACGUAGGGAGCGAGCGUUAUCCGGAAUUAUUGGGCGUAAAGCGUGCGUAGGCGGCGUGUUAAGUCGAAUGUGAAAGCCCACAACUUAACUGUGGAGGGUCAUUCGAAACUGGCAUGCUAGAGUACGGCAGAGGUUAGUGGAAUUCAAUGUGUAGCGGUAAAAUGCGUAGAUAUAUUGAGGAACACCGAUGGCGAAGGCAGCCAACUGGACCGGAACUGACGCUGAGGCACGAAAGCGUGGGGAGCAAACAGGAUUAGAUACCCUGGUAGUCCACGCCGUAAACGUUGAGAACUAAGUGUUGGGGUGACUCA
rnacentral:rRNA from 1 species